rnacentral:tRNA from 1 species
GCCGGGGUGGCCGAGCCAGGUCUAAGGCGCAGGACUUGAGAUCCUGUCCCCGCAAGGGGGCCCGGGUUCAAAUCCCGGCCCCGGCACCA